UUUUAAAAGGCAGAACUCUGUAGGUAAAGAAAAUUGAGUGGUCUAAAUGCUUCACUACUCCAUACAUGGGUAUAGUGGAAACAUUUCACUGCCUGCUAGCCCACUGCCACCACCGCUGGCUUCUCAGUUUUAGUCUUCGAGGCUCACCUGAACUUGGCACGCUCUGUGUUAGAUUACUCAACCUGUCUGCCCCACAGAAACUCACCUCCCUAACUGCUGCGUGCUGCUUUCUCUUUUUGAGAGUUGGACUACACCCAAAGCUACUGUCAAAUGUCAUGGGGAUGAGACUUCACAAGGAGAUAUUGGAGACUUUAAUCAAGAGGAUUCUUGAAACAUGACCACCUGACAGUUGGAAGACAGUUUUCCACCCCAUAAAGGGUGAUAUCUAAAAUCUUCACCAGCCAUGCUUGUACAAGAAACGACCCAUCUGAACGGAUAUUCCACUGAUCAUAAGGAACACCAUACUGGUACAUUAUCAGCUAAAUACAUUAAGAGCGAGAAGAGUACUUGCCAGUUUGAUCAGGAGUGGGAAAGGAGAAGGAGGAGGAGUAGAAGGACAAGGGCAGCAUUUUGCAAUUUUUCGAAAUAUGUGUGCAGCUCAUCUCUCUAGAAACAAAAGUACUAAUAAUGCAUAUCUCAAGGAACCUAUGAGCAUUUAUGGAGAUAAUGUCGUAAGUACUUUGAAUUUUUUCUUUAUAAUUUCUAAAAUAGAAAUAGCUUGUUUUAUUUGAUGAUAAAGAAUACCUGCCAUUGUAAUUUUGAUGCAUAAUU